rnacentral:rRNA from 1 species
CCUACGGGCGGCUGCAGUGGGGAAUAUUGGACAAUGGGGGGAACCCUGAUCCAGCCAUGCCGCGUGUGUGAAGAAGGCCCUCGGGUUGUAAAGCACUUUCAGUGAGGAAGAACGCCUGGUGGUUAAUACCCAUCAGGAAAGACAUCACUCACAGAAGAAGCACCGGCUAACUCCGUGCCAGCAGCCGCGGUAAUACGGAGGGUGCGAGCGUUAAUCGGAAUUACUGGGCGUAAAGCGCGCGUAGGUGGCUUGAUAAGCCGGUUGUGAAAGCCCCGGGCUCAACCUGGGAACGGCAUCCGGAACUGUCAAGCUAGAGUGCAGGAGAGGAAGGUAGAAUUCCCGGUGUCGCGGUGAAAUGCGUAGAGAUCGGGAGGAAUACCAGUGGCGAAGGCGGCCUUCUGGACUGACACUGACACUGAGGUGCGAAAGCGUGGGUAGCAAACAGGAUUAGAUACCCCAGUAGUC